GCGUGCUUGCACCUUCGUGUAUUCGUGUUCGGCAAGCACCUGGUUAGGCACAGUCGGAAAUGCGAACGAUGGUGCUCAAGAUGGCACAUGCAAUGCUAUGCAGCUGUGGACACCAGCAGCUUGAUAAGAACUCUUGAAGCUCAUCUGGAUGCUUCACAGAACCUUGGAAGACUGAACACUUUUGGCAAAGCAGCAACAGUUCUGGCCCACCUGUUUGUCUACAAGACGGUCUCUUCUGUGAACACUCCUGUGCCUUAC